UGCCUGUUGUCGGCCUACCAUGCAAGUCGAGCGGUAGCACAGAGAGCUUGCUCUCGGGUGACGAGCGGCGGACGGGUGAGUAAUGUCUGGGAAACUGCCUGAUGGAGGGGGAUAACUACUGGAAACGGUAGCUAAUACCGCAUAACGUCGCAAGACCAAAGUGGGGGACCUUCGGGCCUCAUGCCAUCAGAUGUGCCCAGAUGGGAUUAGCUAGUAGGUGGGGUAACGGCUCACCUAGGCGACGAUCCCUAGCUGGUCUGAGAGGAUGACCAGCCACACUGGAACUGAGACACGGUCCAGACUCCUACGGGAGGCAGCAGUGGGGAAUAUUGCACAAUGGGCGCAAGCCUGAUGCAGCCAUGCCGCGUGUGUGAAGAAGGCCUUCGGGUUGUAAAGCACUUUCAGCGGGGAGGAAGGCGAUAAGGUUAAUAACCUUGUCGAUUGACGUUACCCGCAGAAGAAGCACCGGCUAACUCCGUGCCAGCAGCCGCGGUAAUACGGAGGGUGCAAGCGUUAAUCGGAAUUACUGGGCGUAAAGCGCACGCAGGCGGUCUGUCAAGUCGGAUGUGAAAUCCCCGGGCUCAACCUGGGAACUGCAUUCGAAACUGGCAGGCUAGAGUCUUGUAGAGGGGGGUAGAAUUCCAGGUGUAGCGGUGAAAUGCGUAGAGAUCUGGAGGAAUACCGGUGGCGAAGGCGGCCCCCUGGACAAAGACUGACGCUCAGGUGCGAAAGCGUGGGGAGCAAACAGGAUUAGAUACCCUGGUAGUCCACGCCGUAAACGAUGUCGAUUUGGAGGUUGUGCCCUUGAGGCGUGGCUUCCGGGAGCUAACGCGUUAAAUCGACCGCCUGGGGAGUACGGCCGCAAGGUUAAAACUCAAAUGAAUUGACGGGGGCCCGCACAAGCGGUGGAGCAUGUGGUUUAAUUCGAUGCAACGCGAAGAACCUUACCUGGUCUUGACAUCCACAGAACUUAGCAGAGAUGCUUUGGUGCCUUCGGGAACUGGUGAGACAGGUGCUGCAUGGCUGUCGUCAGCUCGUGUGUGAAAUGUGGGUUAGUCCCGCAACGAGCCGCAACCCUUAUCCUUUGUUGCCAGCGGUUAGGCCGGAUCUCUAAGGGAGACUGCC
rnacentral:rRNA from 1 species